CACUCCAACCUCCUUGUCAAAACCUGAUCUCAUCAGAUCUCUGAAGCUAAGCAGAGCAGGGCCUAGUUUAGACUUGGAUGGGAGACUGCUGGGAAUAACAGGUGCCACAGUGA
rnacentral:rRNA from 1 species